UACGUAGGGGGCAAGCGUUGUCCGGAUUUAUUGGGCGUAAAGAGCUCGUAGGCGGUUUGUCGCGUCUGCUGUGAAAUCCCGAGGCUCAACCUCGGGCCUGCAGUGGGUACGGGCAGACUGGAGUGCGGUAGGGGAGAAUGGAAUUCCUGGUGUAGCGGUGGAAUGCGCAGAUAUCAGGAGGAACACCGAUGGCGAAGGCAGUUCUCUGGGCCGUAACUGACGCUGAGGAGCGAAAGCGUGGGGAGCGAACAGG
rnacentral:rRNA from 1 species